rnacentral:rRNA from 1 species
GAUGAACGCUGGCGGCGUGCUUAACACAUGCAAGUCGAACGGAAAGGCCCAAGCUUGCUUGGGUCCUCGAGUGGCGAACGGGUGAGUAACACGUGGGUGAUCUGCCCUGCACUUCGGGAUAAGCCCGGGAAACUGGGGCUAAUACCGGAUAGGACCACAUUCUGGAUGGUGUGGUGGGAAGUUUUUCGGUGUGGGAUGAGCUCGCGGCCUAUCAGCUUGUUGGUGGGGUAGUGGCCUACCAAGGCGUCGACGGGUAGCCGGCCUGAGAGGGUGUACGGCCACAUUGGGACUGAGAUACGGCCCAGACUCCUACGGGAGGCAGCAGUGGGGAAUAUUGCACAAUGGGCGGAAGCCUGAUGCAGCGACGCCGCGUGGGGGAUGACGGCCUUCGGGUUGUAAACUGCUUUCGCUAGGGACGAAGCGCGAGUGACGGUACCUGGUGAAGAAGCACCGGCUAACUACGUG